AGAAUCAACGCUGGCGGCGUGCCUCAGACAUGCAAGUCGAACGCGAAAGUUUCCUUCGGGGGACGAGUAGAGUGGCGCACGGGUGAGUAACACGUAGGUAAUCUACCUUUGGAUGGGGAAUAACAACCGGAAACGGUUGCUAAUACCGCAUGAUGCAGCGGCACCUAAUGGUGACAGUUGUUAAAGCGGGGGAUCGAAAGACCUCGCGUCUGAAGAGGAGCCUGGCGGCGGUAUUAGACUAGGUUGGUAGGGUAACGGCCUACAAGCUACGAUCCGUAGCCGGCCUGAGAGGCGUCGGCCACACUGACACUGACAUACCGGGUCAGACGUCCUACGGGAGGCCUAGCCAGGUCGGGAAUUUUGGGCAAGUGGGACGAAAGCCUAGACCCAGACAACGCCG
rnacentral:rRNA from 1 species